GUUCUCCCUGAGACUUWRRGUCUCCUGAAGGAACGUUGAAGACGACGACGUUGAUAGGCCGGGUGUGUAAGCGCAGCGAUGCGUUGAGCUAACCGGUACUAAUGAACCGUGAGGCUUAACCUU
rnacentral:rRNA from 1 species